rnacentral:rRNA from 1 species
GAUGAACGCUGGCGGCGUGCUUAACACAUGCAAGUCGAACGGAAAGGCCCAAGCUUGCUUGGGUACUCGAGUGGCGAACGGGUGAGUAACACGUGGGUGAUCUGCCCUGCACUUCGGGAUAAGCCUGGGAAACUGGGUCUAAUACCGGAUAGGACCACAUUUUGGAUGGUGUGGUGGAAAGUUUUUCGGUGUGGGAUGAGCUCGCGGCCUAUCAGCUUGUUGGUGGGGUAAUGGCCUACCAAGGCGUCGACGGGUAGCCGGCCUGAGAGGGUGAACGGCCACAUUGGGACUGAGAUACGGCCCAGACUCCUACGGGAGGCAGCAGUGGGGAAUAUUGCACAAUGGGCGCAAGCCUGAUGCAGCGACGCCGCGUGGGGGAUGACGGCCUUCGGGUUGUAAACUCCUUUCGCUAGGGACGAAGCGUUUUUGUGACGGUACCUGGAGAAGAAGCACCGGCUAACUACGUG